rnacentral:rRNA from 1 species
GAUGAACGCUGGCGGCGUGCUUAACACAUGCAAGUCGAACGGAAAGGCCCAAGCUUGCUUGGGUACUCGAGUGGCGAACGGGUGAGUAACACGUGGGUGAUCUGCCCUGCACUUCGGGAUAAGCCUGGGAAACUGGGUCUAAUACCGGAUAGGACCACAUUUUGGAUGGUGUGGUGGAAAGUUUUUCGGUGUGGGAUGAGCUCGCGGCCUAUCAGCUUGUUGGUGGGGUAAUGGCCUACCAAGGCGUCGACGGGUAGCCGGCCUGAGAGGGUGUACGGCCACAUUGGGACUGAGAUACGGCCCAGACUCCUACGUGAGGCAGCAGUGGGGAAUAUUGCACAAUGGGCGCAAGCCUGAUGCAGCGACGCCGCGUGGGGGAUGACGGCCUUCGGGUUGUAAACUCCUUUCGCUAGGGACGAAGCGUUUUUGUGACGGUACCUGGAGAAGAAGCACCGGCUAACUACGUG